AUAAUUCCAAAAUGACACGUUUUGGAUGUCUUGUCAUCUUCUCAGGAGAGGUGACUCUGGAGGGAAGAGAAUGAACCAGCACUCAAGCCCUGGAGUCUGCACCCCAGCUCGUCUCCUCCAAGUGGGGAUCCAGAUACACCAAGCAGUAAGUCCCACAUCAGCUAGGCUUUCUAGAAAGCACUGCUGCUCCAAAUUGGAGCUCAAUUUCGGCUCAGGCAAACGAUUAAAGGGUCAGCUGAGAGGAAGCUCCUUGUCUGGGUGCUCUGAGGGCCUGUGAACCGCCCCCCAAAACCUUGUUUUCUCUCCCAGACAAUGAUACCCACCAUGAAGGAGAGAAGCAAAUAGGAUUGCGGCCCUUGGAGCCCAGCUUCUAGUGCUGCUUAAGAGAGGGUUGCUUGAGUGGGGGUCACUUCGCCCUGAGAGACCAAAAUGCUCCCCACCUCCCCCCAACCCUAAAGAGAGAGAAGGAAAACCCUCUCGAAGCCUCUUGCCAUUCCCUGCACCGGAGCUGCGCCUGAACACAGCUGGGGCCAGUAGCUGAUAGUUCCGGGGAAGGGCAGGCAGGGAAGAGCUGCAGCUUCUGCCCACAGUGGGGCCCAGAGCAGCCAAGAACCAAGAAGGAAGCCGAGGUGAGAAGAUGAGAGGUCAGCCCUGGCCAGGACCAGCCGGUGAGUGCCUGUGGUUUAAGGGCUGUUUUAGAAGGGCCCUUCACUCUGAGAGAGAGAAAAUCUAGACAGAGGGAAGGAAAUAAAAGCAAGGAGAAAAACAAACAAAAAAAGAAAAACAGUAAGUGAAAAAGGGAGAAAGUUUUUUAAUCAACAAGCUAAGCUGAAAUCUAUGCAUGUGUAUUUGAAUAGAUGUGUUUCCUGUACUAUAUUUCAAAUCAAUAUUUCCAUAUGGGGAACCCAGCGUGCAAAUGUGCUGUGUUCUAUGCUGUGUACAGAAUAUGCAAUAAAUAAAUCUGCCCAACUAUAAUACUAAAUGUGCUUGGGCAUUUGUAUAUAAGAUCUAAUGGUGCACAUGUAAAUGUGUAUAUGAGAUGGGUUUACAAUUCUGCUCACAUAAAAAGAUCUAUAACCCCAAAGCUUGUGUGUACAUUUUCAUAACCAUCACACACUUAUAGAUAGGGCAAAAGCUUGCAUAUCUGUGUACUUGAAUUGUGGCUAUAAAACAUUAGCUGAUUCAGAAGCUUUACUAUAUUCAAGCAAAAUAUCCACAAACACACGUGACCUAAGUCUGGAUUCUUUUACAACUCCAUUCUAAAAUAUUUCUCUGAGAGGUGAAGGAAAUGCCUCAAACUGGCCCAGGGCAGGUUGUGAAAUUUUGUGACUUUUUUGUCUGACCAUGAAACCCUUUACUGCAUCCCUUACCCAAAAGCCACAGGGAGAGUAUACAUCCUGUGAUGCUUAUUUCAUGGUCGUGAUGGACACAGGGAUGAAGGCACAGUUCCUUGUGCACAAGUAUGUCUCACACAAGUGUGAAUCUGACCAGUGGUCAGAGAUGAGUUGAAUGUGAAAGCUCUCAGGUAACUGUAGAGGUCACACAAAAGGACUGCUGUGUACAAUGAAAUUAGGAAAGUCCCCAUAGCACCUGGAGUUUAUUUUUUCUGAACCAUGAUCAGAGUCCAGCCCCACUGUUGGAAAGAAUGAGGUGUGGGGACACUUGCUCCAGGGGGUGAAAUCAAGAGUCCCCAGAACCUUCACUCUUUACAUACAACAACCUCCAAAAGGAGCUGCAUUCGAUCUGCAAACAUGGGUUCAACCCUUAGCGCUUCCACACCCUCCACGUGGGGAUUUUAAUUGUAAAGUAACGAAAUCUUCUCCCUAACCUCCCUCCAGGUUGUCAGAGGUGAAAAGAAGGACAGACAAAGAGGUCAGUGGCCCAAUCACAUCCCGGGAAUUUCUAACCAGCUACCAGGAAUAUGGGAGGCCAUGGGGUGGCUGACUGUUUGGGAGCCCGUAUCCAGGAGGCCAAACGGGGUGGGCGGCAGGCGGGGCGGAAAGGAGUUGAGCAGGUAGAAGGUUAUUACGGAAUUGCUUCCAUAAAACCUGCGGCUGUUGUAAAACUCUCUGCUUUCCAAAGACUUUAUUUCCUCCUUUCUCUCUAACAUCCCCCUUUUUUCUUUUUACAGCACUGUUCCUGGGAGGGGGUGGCCAAGGGACACCAAGGGAUGGAAGACAGUCAGGCUCUGAGUGGCUGGGCAGGUUCCUGAGAGGCUGAGAAGGAAGAAUAGGAUAGGCUGAGCCCUAUUCAAGGACACCCGAAGCCUCCUGUGGAAGAGGAGCCCUGUCCACCUGGCAAAAGGUUACAGAGACCUCAAGGUCAUCCUGUGUCUCUGCUGAAAUCAAGUGCUUGCCCAGUUAGGGAGACUUUCUUUGGAAAGUCUGAAUGUAGCCCAAGCAGUUAGCUUGAAGCCCUGACUCAGAUCCUUUUGGCUCUGUAGAACAGCCCAGAAAGGUGCCUUUGGAGAGUGCAACACUCUUCAGUGCCCCUUCCCCUCCCAACACACGUGUAAACGAAUACAUAAAUGGGAAGACACCCUAGGGCAGCCCAGAUCUCCUCUCUGGGGAACAUUAUUGCUGCUCCUGGAUUAGGGACCUCAUACCUCUUCACGUGUUGCAAGGGUGAGACUAGUUCUGAGUCUGCUUCCCCGCCCACCCUCCACUCCUCCAGCUAAGCGAGGAGCAGUAACUGCCGUGAGUCGGGUGGUUUAAUGUCGUUGUGUUCAGAAAUCCAGGCCCAACAACAUGAAACUACCUAAUUCACUCAGCAGUUCCAGUUCACGCUCCAGGUCAAGGGCUCACUGGGGACAGGCCCCUGCAGCCAUUUUUGUGGGCCCAAAGGGCUGGCCAGCUAACUUCCUUUUUCUCCACCUCUUCCCAAACAGAACACAGUUGCUAGUAAACAACAAGUCCAGAGAACUGGAGGCAGGACUCCAGGCAAAACCUCUGGAGCUAGUUCUGGCAGUUCAGAUUCCAGGAACUUUUGUUCCCUCUCAGGAGCUCUAGUCAGAGGGGACUCUGGGCCCAGCCUGGGCAGGGUCAUGCGGAUAUACCUGCUUGGUCACUGCCUCUCAGCCUCUCUCUGAAGCUGGAGGUCUCCACAGCCAAAAAGAUUUCUCUCUCAACUUCAAACUGCUAUCAAGGUGAAACCGGGAACUUCGCUCCUUCCUUCUGGACCUUCAGCCUGGACCCUUCUCUCCCCGGCCCCCACCGAUGUCCCCUGCUGCCACCUCCGCCCCUCCGGACCCCGCGCCCUCACAGGUGCCCGGGCG